ensembl:lncRNA
CACGCUCAUGAAGCCAUCAAGACCCAUGACAUUUAAUCAGAGGCGUAGAAAUAGGGCAGGCAAUUGCCUGGGGCCCUGCAUUUUGAGGGGACCCCCGACAGCUGACCAUUUGAACAAUCAGAAAUGUCAUUAUUAAUAUAACAUGGAGCAAUAUAUCUGCAUCCCCCCUAGGGGACCCCCUCUCGCGUUACACUGGAUAUGCUUGCUUUUUCCUUGUGAUGCGUGGACUGCCGUUUUCAAACUGGCAUGCUUACUCGUGCAUUUGCAAAUUUAAACAUGAAGAGGACUUAUCAGUCUGCAGCCAGAAAAAAUCAAGAAGAGGAGGAAAAGAGGAAACAUGACAGCGACAGGUUUCCCUAACACGCUGUCAUUGUUUGUAUCAAAGAGGUCUGUAAUACUUGGAGAGAACCAUCCUGGAGAGAGCAAUCCAUCCCAUUCAUCUCAACAUCCAUUUCUGGAUAGAUGGCACAGGAACAACCAGAUGUACUAGGUUUAACAUCUUUACUCUUUUUUUUUUUUCUUUUUCUUUUUUUCUUUUCAGCCACUAAUCAUUUUGGAACUGCAGUAUAAUGACACUUCUGGUUGUCUGAUGGAACUACAAAUAUGUGUAGAGCUCCAAAUCAUGGUCCCGACAUUGUUUUAGUUGUGUCUAUUUUAACAUAAAAAAGAGCUGCACAUUUAAUUACUGUGAAAGAGUCUAACAAUCCUGGUGAUAUUUUGACAGAAUAGAACACUGCUGUGUACGUGUGCCACAGGCUACAGUGACUAGUCAAAAUUAUACUUUUCUUUUCCUGAGAAAGAGAGGGAGUGAUAGAAAGAGUGAGAGAGUGAGUCUUUGAAAAAGUACGCCUCUCCCUCCAGUUCUAGGACCUCUCCGCUUUAGACACCUAAAGAAGGCCCACUUCAGAAGGUGUGAAACAUCAAAGCUUCUGUUCAGUCACACACACACACACUCCCCCUCAUUUCCCCCUCUCUCUCUCUCAAACAGACAUUGGAAAAUAUUCUUGCAUUGCUGUGACAUUUUAUAUGGACAUGAGUAUAUGGACAAAGACACAUAGUGUCACACAAAUCUCUUAUUGCAGGAAAUACACUGGAAAGCUGUGGUUAAAUCCAUUCCAGAUUCGGACACUGCUGUCUUACCAGGAGAGCUAGCUUCAACAGCUAUAUUCAGCACCUGCAUACUUACCACUGAAAAUUAAAAGGCCCUCAUGGAGCUCAAAACCUUGAGAGUAAAGCAAUUUGUUUGGUGGGAUGGGUGGUUAUUGUCUGUUAGAUAUAGAAAGCUCUAGUUUUAGCAUGACACUUUAACAUUAUGUGCUGAUGAUGAGUUCAAUGCACCUAUAAUGUUCACAUAAUGUUGUGUGAGAUAUCACUAUACCACAAUUCCUUAUGGCCAUGAUAUCAGGCUCAGUAUCGACUGUAUAAUCAGUCAUCAUUGGAUGUGUAGAUGCAGGUCUCCGAAUGAUGCCAUUUGACUGCAGUAGCAAGACAUACUAUUUCCACAAUAGGCCUUUCUCCUGAGGAACCAAUGAAAAAGCUUCAGAAGUGGCCAGAAGGGGGCAUUGUGGGUCUAUAGCAUAUAAUUUAUCUGAAUCUCUUGAUAAAUGGCAAUGUGCUGAUGAAACCAAAUGAUAAGUAAAACAGUUCCAGCCGCCAUGACAGAAAAGACGCUGUCUAAAAGGUGUAUGUGAGAAGAGGAAAGGAUAUGAUUUGGGCUAAAUAAAGAAAUUGAGUGAAUUCUGGUUUAGUGC